CAUUUGAAUAAUGCGCGAGCACUUUGGACCGGAGCCAAUCAGCUGUCAGAAGAGCAUGAUAAAUCGCAAUGCAUUAUUGAUAAUAAUAAUUACUUUGACAUGCGCAUUUCUACUCGAGGGGCUAAUUUCCCCCAACCUGGAGAAUUUCUAAAGGAGAGGGACUAAAUAGUCUUACUAUUCGCCCCUGAUGGUUGUAGGUUACCAUGUCGCGGCGCAAGCAGUCCAAACCACAGCAUAUCAAUUCGGACGACCCCGCUUCGACAGAAAAUGGGAUCUUGCACAAUAGUCAAAGUGAAGAGGAUGGCAGUGAUGCUAAGAGGCGACGAUCGGAGGAGACAAGGGUUUGCGAAAAAUGUUGCGCAGAGUUCUUCGAUGAGGCAGAGUUUCUUGAACAUGAGAGAAAUUGCACUAAAAGUCAGCAGGUAGUGAUCAUGAAAGAUGGCGAUGGGAGCGAGGUGCCCCCUGAGUUCUCGCAGCGUUCUCCGGGAGAUGUCUUGAGUGAUCCUUGUGAUCAGUCUACCAAUUCAUAUUCAAAGCACGGUGCAGAGUCAGAUGAAAUGAUGGAAGGAGAGUUCAUGUUGAACCAGGAUAACCCCUCAAAUCACGAUCAAGAGGUGUCUGGCAGUCCAGGGUACGUGGCAUCCAGCAAAUUGCAAGACUCUAAUGUGACACUCGAGUCCAUGGCUGCUACCAAAGUUGCUGUAACACAACACUCAUCCAAUUCGUCUAGUCAAAAAUCUCCACCCCCACAACCACACCAAGACACACUUCUUGCAAUCCCUAUGAUCCUGGAACAGCUGGUCAGUCUCCAGCAACAGCAACUGCAGCAGAUCCAGCUAACUGAGCAGAUACGCAUCCAAGUGGCCAUGAUGGCACCUCCGAGUCUGCAUGCAGCAGUGGGUGCUGUAAUGGAUCCACUCAAAGCGCUGGGUGCACAUUUAUCGCAGCAGCUCUCUGCUGCAGCCGCCCUCAUUGGCAAACGGACAGGCUCCCAGUCUUUGUCCUUGGAAGCAUUGAAACAAGCAAAACUACCUCAAUCCGCUACUAUCCCCACAUCCCUUCCUGGAGGUUUGGGAUCAAUUCCCUUAAAACCGGACUUGAAAGGACUCCCUGAUUUAGCCAGCCGACUUCCAGCGCUGCUUCCACAAUCUCCAGGGGUCAUAGGAUUACAGAGUCCCUUUAAUAACCUUGCAACAAGCAUGGACCCCUCCAAAAAGGCAAAAACUAAGGGCCCUGUAGUCUCGGAGCCUCCAAAAAAUGUCUCUGUUGAACACUCGUUCAAGCACAAAUGCAAGUUCUGUGGUAAAACAUUUGGAAAUGACAGCGCUCUACAAAUCCACUUGCGCUCGCACACUGGCGAAAGGCCCUUUAAAUGUAACAUCUGUGGAAACCGUUUCACAACUAAAGGAAACCUCAAAGUACAUUUUCAGAGACACAAAGAAAAAUAUCCACACAUCAAGAUGAAUCCACAUCCGGUACCUGAACACCUGGACAACAUGCCUUCAAACAAUGGUAUCCCUUAUGGCAUGUCUGUGCCCAUGGAGGAAAAUGGUUUUAGUGAAACCAAACCUGUUUUGGGAGUUCCCACAACAGGUCCCCCGGCAGGUCCCCAUCCGCCAGUGCUCCAGGCAUUCAAGCCCUCAUUUGAUAUUCCAGCUGCUGGAGACCCCUACUCCCAGAGACCUUCUUCAUCAGGCAGUGAUGGUGCAUCGAUUUCUUCUGGCAUGUUCGGUCAAGAUAUAGCAGGAUCGGAUCAAAGCAAAGAUUCCCCUGAUGCAAUGGUUGGAUUGCACCAUAUAAACGGUAACAGCCUAACUGGAGAAAAUGGCUCUGGUACCGCAAAGCUUCAGCAAAUGGUGGACUGCUUGGAGAAGAGGACAAAUGACCCCAAUGAAUGUGUUAUAUGCCACAGAGUGCUGAGCUGCCAAAGUUCCCUCAAAAUGCAUUACCGCACACACACUGGCGAGCGACCGUACAAAUGCAAAAUCUGUGGCAGGGCCUUCUCCACCAAAGGCAACCUUAAAGCUCAUUAUGGUGUUCACAGGGCCAACACUCCUCUGAAGAUGCAACACUCUUGCCCAAUUUGCCAUAAGAAGUUCACCAACGCAGUUGUUCUCCAGCAGCAUAUUCGUAUGCACAUGGGCGGCCAGAUUCCAAACACCCCACUUCCAGAAAAUCAGUUCGAAAGUCCUGAGGCACUGGAUUCUAGCAUGACCGAGGAUAAGACCAUUGACUCCAAUGGGCAUGAGGAGAGUAUGGAGGAACAAGACUUUGAAUUGGACAAUCAGGAGAAGCUGAACUAUUCUACAGAGCCCCAGCCUGUCACUAAAGACGAUCAGACAUUCCCAGGUCAACCAUCAAUGUUUACAGGCAUCACUGCCCUGGAGAACCACAUGAAGAACCUUACCUCUGCACUGAACCUGCAACGACAAAGCAGCACUGCUUCUGAGAGUGACAGUGGGCUGAAAGAUUCCCCUUUGGGGUCUGGAGAAGUGGACUACAAGAAUGACCGCAGUCCAGUUGUGUCCGAUUCGGUGUCCUUCCACUCUUUGUCCCCUAUAGAUGGUCCCCCGAGUAAUGGUCCGUCAAAAUCACCAGAAUCCACAAACCUAGAUGAUUCUGUUAAAUCCAGACCAGACACUGAUGCACCUCAAGAUUUUAGCGAAAACAAUGGAGCCCUGGACUUGACGUCAAGUUUUACUUCUAAACCAAUCAAAGAGGAGCCAGGCUUGUCCUUUGCCAGUGGUGAAUAUGGUUCUUCUCAAUUACCUUUCAUGAGGGUGCCUCCGAGUUUGGUCAAGCUGGAGAUGCAGAUUCCUCCGGAGACUCCUAUGGGUGCCCACGGCCUGUACAGCUCCCAGCUGCCUCAAGGUGCUGCCACUCCUCCUGCUUCUUCUAGUGCUCCUCGUAGGUCCACCAAGCAACAUCUCUGCAACAUGUGUGGGAAGAACUUUUCAUCUGCCAGUGCCCUGCAGAUACAUGAACGUACACACACCGGCGAGAAGCCGUUUGCUUGUUCAAUUUGUGGCAGGGCUUUUACGACAAAGGGAAACCUUAAGGUACAUGUUGGGACUCAUAUGUGGAAUAAUACAGCAAGGAGAGGUCAACGCCUGUCAUUGGAUAACCCAAUGGCUUUGAUGGCCAUGGGCAACGAGUCGAAGAUGAUGCCAGACAUGCUGCCGCCCCCAAAGGAUUUGAUUCCCCCACCCAUUAAUUUUGACCCAUCAAUGUGGAACCAGUAUGCUGCUGCUUUCACAAACGGGCUGACCAUGAAGACCAAUGAAAUUUCAGUCAUCCAAAAUGGUGGCAUCCCUCUCCCAGGAAGUCUGGGAGGUCCUUUAGUGGGCUCUACUGGGGGAAUAACCAAGAUGGAGUCAUCUCAGAUGGGCAUCCCUGGCACAGUUGCAGAAAUGGAAAAGAAUGGCUCUGAAAGCAUAGCAAAGUUUCCACAUUUCAUGGAGGAGGGUAAAGUGAAUUAAAAAGUGAAAAGACUUCCCAGUUGUUCCCAAACCAACGGUUCAUGUUGUGCUGAUUGGCUUACAAGCCUGUUGGAAUGUUAGGAACUGGACUAUUUAUUAAUUCGGUCCUUAGUUGGUACAAUCAAGUCAUACAUGUAACAUUGCUUUUAAGAACUUUUGCAAAUACCCUUGUUAAAUGAGCCUACACCCUAAAACGGGCUACGCCUUCCUCUUAGGACUCUUACAUGCUAGCAGUUGCUUCUAGUUGAAUCUGAUCUAACUACUGUAGUCCUUUUUCUUUCUCUCUAAUAUAUGCGGGUAUUUUGUCUGUUAUGUUUCUAGAAGUUGAAUGUAAGUCUUACUUGAAAUAGCUUUAUUCCAGAGCAGUCUCAUUAGUGAUCGGACACUCUUUUUGCGAGUUGCAUUGGGCUCCGCUCUAUGACCCUCAGGAGGAUCUCAGCCACAGGUCAUUAUUCGCAGUUACAUCUGUGGCAUUGAUGCCAGACAAAGGUAUUUGUGGAAUAUGUGCGUUGAAGAACGAAUCGACCGUUCCACACAAUCUACUGAAGGCUACGGUUUCAUUGAUGAACAUAGUGAGUAGUUCUAGUAUAGAUGUUUGUUUUGAAACUGGAUUUCAAUUUCACUAAGUUAUUAAGAGUUUUUCGACUGUCAAUAUAGUUUCUUUCUGCGCUUAAUACCAAAAAUUAUUUCGCUAAGUGCCUGUCUUGGAGUGCUUUUUUGUUUUAUUUUUUCUCUUGUUCUCCUUAAUUUUUCCUUGGCCUCGCCAAGGAUACCACAAGAUUGUAUCAAAGGCCUUUUUGGAUUUCAUAUUUUAUCAAGACCAAAAUAUGCUAUAUUUUUGCAUUUAGCUAUAGCUUUUUCAUUAAGUAAUUUGGGAGUUUCCAUGCUUUCAGUGGUCCAUUUCAAAUAUUAGAUUGUUGCUUUCAUUUAAGACCUUUGAUAGGAGUUCAAAAGGCCAGUUUAAUGCUGAAAUGCCUAAUCAUUCCUUGCACUUUAUUUUUCCUCAUUCUGCUAAGAUCUAGACCAGGCUCAUGCCAUUUGUUUUCUUUUAUGAACCUUUGUUUGACUCCUCAUUUGCUUGCUCUACAGUUUUAGGACCCACUGAGUUUUAGAAAUCUGUAAAUUUACCAUGCUUUUUAUAAUUAUGAGCUAAGCAGGCAUGUACAUCUGGUCCCAAAAGGAGUAAGUAGUCAUUCUUUUUCUGGGAAAAAGUCAUGGUUUACUACCCAAAUGUGUAUUGAUUGUUGUGGGAACAUGUUUUCGAGAUCGUAGCCAUGCGUUCUUUCUUUAGUAAGAGGAAUGAACUUUUUCUGUAUGCACGCAGAGUAUCUAAACCGUAAAACUUUACGCUGGUCAAAUUUCUACCUCAUUUAGAUGUCUGUCUUUUUUUUUUUUUUUUUUUUUUUUUUUUUUUUUUUUUUUUUUUUGGCAUUGUGUUUGGAGUUAUGGUUGCAUUUGUGCUCCUAUAACCUGCUGAUUUCUGUAAUAUAAUGAAUGUAUCGCCAGACACUUUGCACAACACUUGUUCAGAAUAGGCAGACUCCUCCUGUACAUUCUCUUUCAAAUAUGCAUUUACCAAGUUGUGCCUUUUUCCCUAGAUGUUAAAAAAAAAGGUGGUGUCAGAUCUUGGUUAAAUGGGGUCAUGUCUGUAUGAUUGUUCAAAUAUUGAGUCUGUUUUAGGCUUGUUUACAGUGUAGACUUUUUGUAAAUGUUGCUUUUUUGUUUGUUCCCCUUCCGUUCUGAUAUUUUGAGAAUAAAACCAAGGAUGACUUUUCCAAAACUU